UGGCUCAGAUUGAAACGCUGGCGGCAGGCUUAACACAUGCAAGUCGAGCGGAAACGAUGAUAGCUUGCUAUCAGGCGUCGAGCGGCGGACGGGUGAGUAAUACUUAGGAAUCUACCUAGUAGUGGGGGGAUAGCACGGGGAACUCGUAUUAAUACCGCAUACGACCUACGGGAGAAAGGGGGCAGUUUACUGCUCUCGCUAUUAGAUGAGCCUAAGUCGGAUUAGCUAGAUGGUGGGGUAAAGGCCUACCAUGGCGACGAUCUGUAGCUGGUCUGAGAGGAUGAUCAGCCACACCGGGACUGAGACACUGCCGCAU
rnacentral:rRNA from 1 species